AAGACUGACAUGCACACAUAAAUAAAGUCAGAGAUGAGAACAUAUUUCUGACUUUGUGAGGAGUCUAGGAAACAUGCAUCACAUUUCAGUCCCUGUCCACCAGGGGGUGCAACUUCCUAACCCAAACACAUUUCCUGAGUGAAAUGUAGGCUUUGAUUUACCGUUUCACUAUGACUUCAACAUUUCUUCAUGUUAAGAAUCGAGAGCAAUAUUUAUAUGAUAAUCCAGCGAUGAACUCUUCUCCAGGCUUAAUGACUUUGAUAUUCUUAAUGCUUGGACAAACCUAUGGAGAGUCAGUGACCCAGAUGGAAGGCCAAGUGACCCUCUCAGAAGGGGCUUCCCUGACUCUGAACUGUACUUACUCAACCACCGGGUACCCCACUCUUUUCUGGUAUGUUCAAUAUCCUGGAGAAGGUCCACAGCUCCUCCUGAGAGCCACGAAGGCCAACAAGAAGGAACCCAGCAAAAGUUUUGAAGCCACAUACAAUACAGAAACCACCUCCCUCCACUUGGAGAAAGCCUCAGUCCAAGAGUCAGACUCAGCUAUGUACUACUGUGCUAUGAGUGACACAGUGACAGGAACUGCAGGGGGAGCUGAGCACAAACUCUGAACAGCAACAAGGGGCCUGGCUGCUGAGUGUCUCUGACUGUUUGAUCCACUCUGGGUUCAUCACAGUCUAUGGUUGUUUGUCCUGCAGUCCCUGCUUGAUACAAAAUCAUACAAACGGCUAGAGCAUAAGAACAAGAAGUGAACAUUCCCCAUACCCAACUCUUCAUUAGUGAAACUGAAAACAAUGCGACACCAAUAGUUCCUCCUUCAGGGCCAAAAUAAUCUUAAGAUAAAACCAUAAAUCUUAAGAUAAAACAUAAACAAAGAAGUGGUCUCUUGCUUAUCCUUGUAGUCAAAAUCCGCCCUCACAAGUUGUUCUAGGCCAUUUUGUGGGUAUUGCUGUAUCUUAUUAUUCUUUUAGAUUUGUGUCUAAAUCAUGGAGAAUGCCCCAUAUCUUAUUCCAGGCCAGUACAGAGAUCUGUUGGCUUUAAAGCAAGAUAGUUUUGCAGUGCCAAUGGAAGAUUAAGCAUACAUAUUCAUCCCUGUAUCUUCUGAAACCAUAUUAAAAGGAUAGUAAAGAAACUGAACAAGGCAUAAACUCACAAAGAGAACAGAAAGGAGAUGACAGCAGACGGUGAUAUCAACCAAAUUUUAAAGGGUGAGCAAAUACGGAGAAAUAAAAUCUUGCAUAGCAGACCAAAUAAAGAAGAACCUUGGAUCCAGUGUGAGAAGCCAACAACAAGCACCACGAUGUGUGCUAUCCCCUCGUGGAAGGGUUUAGGAAUCAGGAGCUCCAAUUACUUUUCAAUAAUUGAGGUAGAUGGUGCUGUGCGUGUGUAUGCGUUUGUGCAUUUUGAAAGAAUUUUGGGGAGGAGGGAAAUAGGAGGACUGGAAGAGAAAAUAUAUAGUAACAGCUUACCCAUGUUCGCUACCAAUUUCCACGUAAUAAGCAACGAUCACUUCCCAACCCCCCCAGAAAACUGGAAGUUAGUCAUUGAUGAACUGAGGAACAGCACAUAAAAAAGUAAAAAUAGUUAAAGUAGAAAAAUAUAAUGAUUAAUUAUUCACUUCAGGGAAAAUAAAAUAUUAUUCAAGAUAGGAACAUACUCAUAAUAGUCUAUAGGGUUCAACAAAAUUUUUUUCUAGAUGUUUUGCUAAUGUAUACCACCAGUAGUGGUGAUUGGGCAGAAUACCUAUUUUCCCCAAACCUUGUGCAUUAAUAAGGUUUUUGGCUUUUGCUUAUCAGUGAAGCUUUCUUUUAUUUUGAAUAAUUCUUUAAUUAUGAAUGAGAUGGAGUAUCGUUUCAUAUAUUUAAAAGCCGUUUACAUUUUUCUGUAAAUUGUCCGUUCAUAUAUCUACCCAUUUUCUACUGCAUUAUUGUCAUUUAAAUAUAGAUUUUAAAGAAGAUUCUAUAUGUUAUGAAAAUUGUCAUAUGACUGUCAUAUAUAUGUGUCUUUUUACAAAGCUUAUCGUUAUCCUUUUGACUUUAUUUAUGGUCUUUUUCUGCCAUGCAGAAUUUAAACAAUUGAAAGGUGCUGCUGCCUCAGUGUUUUGGAUCCUGUCACUGCUUUGGAGGAAAAUUUUUGAAUUUUUUCUGUUACACAUAUGCUCCGUCAUGAAGUUUGUAAAAA